UGUUAUUGGUUUAUUCUUCAAAAUGAUCUCAUUUGGUAAAGUUAUUGUAUUGGAUUAGUCCACUCUAGUUUGUCCCAACCUAGAGCAUUAGUCCCGAAAUCUUACAAAAUCAGUGACUGGCAACGACUGAGAUGACUGAGCGAGUGGCGACUGAUCGAGAGGAACACAUGAGACUAUGCGACGACAACUGAAAGGAUGAAUGAUUGACGGACGACGAGGAGAGAUGAAAUCCGACCGACAGAGCCCAAGAGACGAAUCGAGAGGAUGAACGGCUGACCUACUACGAUUGGAGACAAUAUCUGAUUGAAAAUCGAGCAGAAACUGUUGUUUGAAACGAUCUUAAAGAAUUUUGGGGACAUUGUCCAUCUGCAUGUGGCAGAGAGAGAAGUUUUUCAUGAGAUGGUUAAAAUAGUAAAGAAAAAGCCUGACUUUCAUGUCAAGAGAAGAUACUGAUUCUAAUAGAUACUGGGCAAGAAGCUUUUGGAGGACCGAGGGCAAGAUAUCCACAAUAUUUUGCAGCAUACCAGGAGUUGUUGGUAUGUUUCUGGUGGAUGGUUCUUUAAGUGAUUAAUUAGUGGA